rnacentral:rRNA from 1 species
GAUGAACGCUGGCGGCGUGCCUAAUACAUGCAAGUCGAACGCUUCACUUCGGUGAAGAGUGGCGAACGGGUGAGUAAUACAUAAGUAACCUGGCAUCUACAGGGGGAUAACUGAUGGAAACGUCAGCUAAGACCGCAUAGGUGUAGAGAUCGCAUGAACUCUAUAUGAAAAGUGCUACGGGACUGGUAGAUGAUGGACUUAUGGCGCAUUAGCUUGUUGGUAGGGUAACGGCCUACCAAGGCGACGAUGCGUAGCCGACCUGAGAGGGUGACCGGCCACACUGGGACUGAGACACGGCCCAGACUCCUACGGGAGGCAGCAGUAGGGAAUUUUCGGCAAUGGGGGAAACCCUGACCGAGCAACGCCGCGUGAAGGAAGAAGUAAUUCGUUAUGUAAACUUCUGUCAUAGAGGAAGAACGGUGGAUAUAGGGAAUGAUACCCAAGUGACGGUACUCUAUAAGAAAGCCACGGCUAACUACGUG